rnacentral:rRNA from 1 species
UACGAAGGGGGCUAGCGUUGCUCGGAAUCACUGGGCGUAAAGAGCUUGUAGGCGGUUUGUCGCGUCUGCUGUGAAAUUUCGGGGCUCAACCCCGAACUUGCAGUGGGUACGGGCAGACUAGAGUGUGGCAGAGGAAGCUGGAAUUCCCGGUGUAGCGGUGAAAUGCGUAGAGAUCCGGAGGAACACCAGAGGCGAAGGCGGCCGGCUGGACCUGACCUGACGCUGAGGCACGAAGGCGUGGGGAGCGAACGGG